UCCAGACUCCUACGGGAGGCAGCAGUGGGGGAUAUUGCACAAUGGGGGGAACCCUGAUGCAGCGACGCCGCGUGAGUGAAGAAGUAAUUCGUUAUGUAAAGCUCUAUCAGCAGGGAAGAAAAUGACGGUACCUGAGUAAGAAGCCCCGGCUAACUACGUGCCAGCAGCCGCGGUAAUACGUAGGGGGCAAGCGUUAUCCGGAUUUACUGGGUGUAAAGGGAGCGUAGACGGCAGUGCAAGUCUGGAGUGAAAGGUGGGGGCUCAACCCCCGGACUGCUCUGGAAACUGUACGGCUGGAGUGCAGGAGAGGUAAGUGGAAUUCCUAGUGUAGCGGUGAAAUGCGUAGAUAUUAGGAGGAACACCAGUGGCGAAGGCGGCUUACUGGACUGUAACUGACGUUGAGGCUCGAAAGCGUGGGGAGCAAACAGGAUUAGAUACCCUCGUACCA
rnacentral:rRNA from 1 species